rnacentral:rRNA from 1 species
UCCCUCGGGAUGUAAACUUCGCAAGAACGGGAAGAAUAAGUAGGGGACAAUACCCCCUAUGAUGACGGUACCGUUUGUAAGCUCCGGCUAACUCCGUGCCAGCAGCCGCGGUAAUACGGGGGGAGCAAGCGUUGUUCGGAUUUACUGGGCGUAAAGGGCGCGUAGGCGGCCAGCACAAGUCAGUUGUGAAAUCUCCGAGCUUAACUCGGAAAGGUCAACUGAUACUGUGCGGCUAGAGUGCGGAAGGGGCAACUGGAAUUCUUGGUGUAGCGGUGAAAUGCGUAGAUAUCAAGAGGAACACCUGCGGCGAAGGCGGGUUGCUGGGCCGACACUGACGCUGAGGCGCGAAAGCUAGGGGAGCGAACGGGAUUAGAUACCCCGGUAGUCCUNGCCUUAAACGAUGAAUGCUUGGUGUCUGGGGUUAUAUAGUCCCCGGGUGCCGUCGCUAACGCUUUAAGCAUUCCGCCUGGGGAGUACGGUCGCAAGACUGAAACUCAAA